CUUGCUUUCAUUGUCACAGGAAGGUUCAUAUGAAUGGCAAGUUCACAGUUCCAUUGUCUGCAAUCGGUCAGAGUUUCUUCCUCGACUCGGCUUUCCAUAUCUACUUCAUUUUAUCAUGGUAGAGUGAAUUUCAAAAGAAAGAGCAAUUGUCUUGUUUAUGCUUCCACCAACAACUUCAACAGGGACCUUCAUCUUCAAUCAAAGCUCAAUAUUUUCUUGAUAGAUCAGAAGUACAAUGUCUGCAUCGAUGGCAGAAAGUUCUAAAUCCAGAACUGUAUGAAGGUUCUAAACCCAGAUCUAAUUCAAACAAUUGAUUUACAUGCACUUGGUGUUCCAGUCGAUAGACUUGUGCAAGCCGCUGAUUCAGUUUCGUCAUGACGAAGGAAGGAAAAGAACAGAAAAGGGCAGCAAACACUUUACAUCCCGAGUCUUCUACUUGAAGACAUUCCCAAUGAAUCAACACAUGAUGACGACAGGUGGAUGAUGUUAGUUUAGUAACAAAUUGAAUAAGCACUUUUAGUUUAGU